AACACAUGCAAGUCGAACGGGAAUCUUCGGAUUCUAGUGGCGGACGGGUGUGUACCGCGUAAGAAUCUAACUUCAGGACGGGGACAACAGUUGGAAACUACAGCUAAUACCGCAUACGCCCUUCGGGGGAAAGAUUUAUCGCCUUUAGAGCAACCCGCGUCUGAUUAGCUAGUUGGUGAGGUAAUGGCUCACCAAGGCGACGAUCAGUAGCUGGUCUGAGAGGAUGAUCACUCACACUGGAACUGAGACAUUUUUUUUACUCCUACAGGAGGCCGCAGCGGGUCCACUCUCUACCAGAAGCAGUAGUGGGACUCCACCUAGAAGUUAUAUUGGCCUCUUGCUAUAAAUACUCUAGAUGAUCUCUAAGAUUUGGAGAGGGGUUUCUCUCUCAUGUAAGACUAAUCUACAGUAAGACGGAGAUGAAUACUCUCGAGCCAACGCAAACACUCCACAACUGAUCCACUCCUAUAAUAGUGACUUAUGAUUGUAACUCUUUUCCGUCGUAUUGUUUGUGGACGCGUUAUAUAUAACUAUACUUAUUUUGAUGUGAUGCUAGUUAAAUAAUUUCUAACGAAUAGUUCUCAAUGGUACUCGAAAUUAGAUUUUUUAGAUAGGAAUAAGAAGAUUUGGGGUUAAGCCUUUGUACAACGCGUUUUACAGCGACACCUAACUAUUAAAAAUUCUUCUCUAAGUGAAAAAUUAUUGUCACUAUAUACAUUAUCAUUAUUAUAAAUAUUAUUCUUUUC
rnacentral:misc_RNA from 1 species